rnacentral:rRNA from 1 species
GAUGAACGCUGGCGGCGUGCCUAAUACAUGCAAGUCGAGCGAACGGACGAGAAGCUUGCUUCUCUGAUGUUAGCGGCGGACGGGUGAGUAACACGUGGAUAACCUACCUAUAAGACUGGGAUAACUUCGGGAAACCGGAGCUAAUACCGGAUAAUAUUUUGAACCGCAUGGUUCAAAAGUGAAAGACGGUCUUGCUGUCACUUAUAGAUGGAUCCGCGCUGCAUUAGCUAGUUGGUAAGGUAACGGCUUACCAAGGCAACGAUGCAUAGCCGACCUGAGAGGGUGAUGGGGCACGCGGGAGGGGAGACGGGGUCCAGAGUCGGACGGGAGGCAGCAGUAGGGAAUGGGGGGCAAGGGGCGAAAGCCUGACGGAGCGACGCCGCAUGAGUGAUGAAGGUCUUCGGAUCGUAAAACUCUGUUAUUAGGGAAGAACAUAUGUGUAAGUAACUGUGCACAUCUUGACGGUACCUAAUCAGAAAGCCACGGCUAACUACGUG